rnacentral:rRNA from 1 species
UACGAAGGGGGCUAGCGUUGUUCGGAAUUAUUGGGCGUAAAGAGCUCGUAGGCGGCUUGUCGCGUCGAUUGUGAAAGCCCGGGGCUUAACUCCGGGUCUGCAGUCGAUACGGGCAGGCUAGAGUGUGGUAGGGGAGAUCGGAAUUCCUGGUGUAGCGGUGAAAUGCGCAGAUAUCAGGAGGAACACCGGUGGCGAAGGCGGAUCUCUGGGCCAUUACUGACGCUGAGGAGCGAAAGCGUGGGGAGCGAACAGG